rnacentral:rRNA from 1 species
CUCGUAGGCGGCCAACUAAGUCAGACGUGAAAUCCCUCGGCUUAACCGGGGAACUGCGUCUGAUACUGGAUGGCUUGAGUUUGGGAGAGGGAUGCGGAAUUCCAGGUGUAGCGGUGAAAUGCGUAGAUAUCUGGAGGAACACCGGUGGCGAAGGCGGCAUCCUGGACCAAUACUGACGCUGAGUGAGCGAAAGCCAGGGGAGCAAACG